UACGUAGGGUGCGAGCGUUAAUCGGAAUUACUGGGCGUAAAGCGUGCGCAGGCGGCUUUGCAAGACAGAUGUGAAAUCCCCGGGCUCAACCUGGGAACUGCAUUUGUGACUGUAUAGCUAGAGUACGGUAGAGGGGGAUGGAAUACCGCGUGUAGCAGUGAAAUGCGUAGAUAUGCGGAGGAACACCGAUGGCGAAGGCAAUCCCCUGGACCUGUACUGACGCUCAUGCACGAAAGCGUGGGGAGCAAACAGG
rnacentral:rRNA from 1 species